rnacentral:tRNA from 1 species
GCGAGAGUGGUGGAACUGGCAGACUCGCUAGAUUCAGGUUCUAGUGUCCGCAAGGACGUGCGGGUUCAAAUCCCGCCUCUCGCACCA